rnacentral:rRNA from 1 species
AUUGAACGCUGGCGGCAUGCUUUACACAUGCAAGUCGAACGGCAGCAUGGGCUUCGGCCUGAUGGCGAGUGGCGAACGGGUGAGUAAUGCAUCGGAACGCGUCCUGUAAUGGGGGAUAACCUGGCGAAAGCCAGGCUAAUACCGCAUACGUCCUGAGGGAGAAAGCGGGGGAUCGUAAGACCUCGCGUUAUAGGAGCGGCCGAUGUCGGAUUAGCUAGUUGGUGGGGUAAAGGCCUACCAAGGCGACGAUCUGUAGCGGGUCUGAGAGGACGGCCCGCCACACUGGGACUGAGACACGGCCCAGACUCCUACGGGAGGCAGCAGUGGGGAAUUUUGGACAAUGGGGGCAACCCUGAUCCAGCCAUGCCGCGUGAGUGAAGAAGGCC